AGUGAACGCUGGCGGCAGGCCUAACACAUGCAAGUCGAGCGGCAGCGGGUCCUUCGGGAUGCCGGCGAGCGGCGGACGGGUGAGGAUAGCGUCGGAAUCUGCCUUUUUGUGGGGGAUAACGUAGGGAAACUUACGCUAAUACCGCAUACGACCUACGGGUGAAAGUGGGGGACCGCAAGGCCUCACGCAGAAAGAUGAGCCGACGUCGGAUUAGCUAGUUGGUGGGGUAAAGGCCCACCAAGGCGACGAUCCGUAGCUGGUCUGAGAGGAUGAUCAGCCACACUGGAACUGAGACACGGUCCAGACUCCUACGGGAGGCAGCAGUGGGGAAUAUUGGACAAUGGGCGCAAGCCUGAUCCAGCCAUGCCGCGUGUGUGAAGAAGGCCUUCGGGUUGUAAACCGCUUUUGUGCAGGAGGAGCAAGGACCGUACUGCACGAACAAGUCACGGCUAACUACGUG
rnacentral:rRNA from 1 species